CACGUAGGCGGCUUUGCAAGUCGGUUGUGAAAUCCCCGGGCUCAACCUGGGAACUGCAUCCGAAACUGCACUGCUAGAGUAUGGGAGAGGGAAGCGGAAUUUCCGGUGUAGCAGUGAAAUGCGUAGAUAUCGGAAGGAACAUCAGUGGCGAAGGCGGCUUCCUGGACCAAUACUGACGCUCAGGUGCGAAAGCGUGGGGAGCAAACAGGAUUAGAUACCCUGGUAGUCCACGCCCUAAACGAUGAGAACUGGAUGUCGGGAGGGUUUGCCUUCCGGUGUCGUAGCUAACGCGUUAAGUUCUCCGCCUGGGAAGUACGGCCGCAAGGUUGAA
rnacentral:rRNA from 1 species